CGAGGAGACAUUCCCGUGCUUGCUUAGGUCAUUGAGACGAGUGCGAGUGCGAUUGCGAUAGCGAUAGCGGCAGCGGCUAGGUUUGUCUUCGUGUUUCUCCAAUCGUUGGGUUUUCGCUUGAAGAGCUAUGGAGACGGACGACGACAUGGGUACGGACGACAUUGGUCUUGAGGAAUUGUUUGGUUACGACAAGCUGGAAAGAGAAUUAGUCCUCAGCCAAAACAAUUAUUCUCCACCUUCGCCGCGACAUAACGCGCUAAAUGAGAUCCGUGAUGAGAUGACACGAGAGGAAGCCUACUCCUACAGCGAACAAGUUUUGAAGAGUGACGGCUUUGAUGUUUCUGACAUCCCUGGAGUCAAUUGUUUGCACCAAAUUCAACCGUGCAAUAUAGACUACGACUAUGAUAUGUAUAAACGGUUUUCGCAGCUCGCAAUCGACGAAUACAAUCGUCGGUUCAAGGAUGCCAAUGCAGAGUUGGAGUUUGUUAAGGUCUUGAAGGUAAUGGGUCAGGCUGCCAACGGAAUCAGGUAUUAUAUAACCUUCAUGGCCAGGGAUCUUGGCGAUGGGGGUGAGAUUAAGAUGUAUCAAGCUGUGGUAUUAGAUGGGAUAGACUCUGAGACAGCGAAAUCCUUUAGGCUAAAGCCCCCCGAGGAUGAGCGAGGUAAAGCAAAUUGAUUCCAUUGAUUCUUGAAAGCCUUGAGCCACUGUUAUGGCGUUGUCGUUUUCGUAUACGAUUCUGGCAGUCAUGUGAAUCGGUGGUUUUGGGAAAAUCACCUUUGCAAUGGUGAAACAUGUUGUAUUUGAAGAUCUUUCAGAGGUGAAAUGCGUAUGGAGUUUAACAAUGCUGUUGGAAUUUAAUGGAAAGAUAGUGCUUCUAGUGUUUAUUUAGACAUUCUAAAGUUGGCCUGACGAUGCUUGUUUAAUUUUGUUUGCAAAACUCCUAAGUGAGAUUAUGCAGCGUGCCCUUUGUCAAUGUGAAUUGGGUAGCUUUUUUAUUUUUCUUGUGUAGGAGUACUGGGAACUUCACUUAAAAAAAAAAAAAAAAAAAAACAUUAUUGGUAACGAUGAGUUUUUUGUGCCUA